AUUGAACGCUGGCGGCAGGCCUAACACAUGCAAGUCGAGCGGAUGAUGGGAGCUUGCUCCUUGAUUCAGCGGCGGGCGGGUGAGUAAUGCCUAGGAAUCUGCCUGGUAGUGGGGGACAACGUUUCGAAAGGAACGCUAAUACCGCAUACGUCCUACGGGAGAAAGCAGGGGACCUUCGGGCCUUGCGCUAUCAGAUGAGCCUAGGUCGGAUUUAGCUUGUUGGUGAGGUAAUGGCUCACCAAGGCGACGAUCCGUAACUGGUCUGAGAGGAUGAUCAGUCACACUGGAACGGAGACACGGUCCCGACUCCUACGGGAGGCAGCAGUGGGGAAUAUUGGACAAUGGGCGAAAGCCUGAUCCAGCCAUGCCGGGUGUGUGAAGAAGGUCUUCGGAUUGUAAAGCACUUUAAGUUGGGAGGAAGGGUUGUAGAUUAAUACUCUGCAAUUUUGACGUUACCGACAGAAUAAGCACCGGCUAACUCUGUGCCAGCCGCCGCGGUAAUAC
rnacentral:rRNA from 1 species